UAUUCCUCUCCUCCUCCCGAUCGCACCCCCCUCCGCCCUUCGCCUUCUUCUCUCUUCGGUCGCCGCCGCCGUCGCACAGCCUCGCCGCAAGGUCUCCAGUCGCUGUUCGCGCAGGCCGCCCGCCCGCCUUUCGCCGCCGUGUCUUCGGUCGCCUUCGCACCCCGCCCUCGCCGGUCGCCGUUCGCACAGGUACCAGUGAGACACAAGUAUUUGAUGAGCAAAGUCCAUCAGGAAAAGAUUACUUGGCUGAGUGCUCAGUGGUUACAUGAUUUGGAUUAGAGUCUAAACUACUUCCUCUUUGGAGACGGAGCUGUUGCAUGUUCGCACUUAGUCAGCAAAACUUGAUUUUCUUCAUAAGAAGGUUUUAGAUACUAAUAAAGAUGAUGGCAUUUUCAGUUCUGGGCAGAGGAAACCCGAUCAAAUUAUAAUUUUCAAAAAAAAAAGACGGAUAGGUGAGUGAAUCCGAGUAAAACCAAGCGUUGAAUGUUGAGUUGAAACAGAUCAUUGAGGCUUGAAGAAUUGAACAGGGAAGCUGAUAAGAAAUUAACAGCUGCUAUUGCAAUCAAUGCCAAGGUAUUCAAUUCAUACAAUUCAUCAUUGUGAUGCGAAAAAAAAACAAAAAACAAAAAGAAAUCGAAGAAAUAACUCAAAAGGUAUGCUUUAUCAAUGAACAUUUGACUGUUAGAGUGAUUUUAAGUUUAUUUUUGGCCAAACGUGUUAAUUAUGUACUAAUUUGUUGAAAAAUAACUUUGGCUGUAUCUAUAGCAACAAAUUUAUAGAAA